rnacentral:lncRNA from 1 species
CGUGAUCUACCUGGUGGACAUCACCGAGGUCCCGGAUUUCAACACCAUGUACGAGCUCUACGAUCCCUGUACUGUGAUGUUCUUCUUCCGCAACAAGCACAUCAUGAUCGACCUUGGCACCGGCAACAACAACAAGAUCAACUGGGCGCUCAAGGACAAGCAGGAGUUCAUCGACAUUGUGGAGACUGUCUACCGCGGCGCCAGGAAAGGUCGAGGUCUCGUUGUUUCUCCCAAGGAUUAUUCCACGAAGUACCGCUACUAAGAAGGAACAAAAGAACAAAACAAGAACAAGAUGGUAAUGGAUCAAUUUACGCGAUUGCUAAGCGACUUCUCUUCUUUUUUACAGACUUUUCAAGCAGCAGUCCCGAGCUUGGAAGAUCUUAGUUCUAUCUAGUAUUGGAAAAGGUAUACUCUUUUCUAAUAGAACAGACGACUUAAUACUUGGGUCUUUAGUUUUUCAUUUUUCAUAACUUAAAGGGCACACACGAGAGGACGAAAUUCAAUACCCGAACCACUUGCCUUACAAGAUGGUAUCUCUGCAAUGCGUGCCAGGCAGGAAAUUCCGAGGUGUGUUCUUGACUUUCCCCUGCUGGAUAACGAAGAGUCAAAGACAAAACACAGGCAAAAAGGGCGGAGCUAUGGAGGUUUCUGGCUGUUGCUGAGGGAGAAAUCAAUGCGAGGACGAGCAGGAUGGAUGAUAUCCCCUCAAGGCAACAAUCUUCAAGAGACAAAACGAGGGACGUGAUCACGGGAAGGACCAGAAACAAACGUACGGAAACGAGAGAAGCUGAAAGAAGAGAAAGGUUGAGACUUUGGAGCUCGUUGCUCGGCGUCACUGCUCCUUUCCCUUUCGGGACCGUGUGUGGAGAUGAGGGUGUUGAUGGCGACUAUGGAAUCCAGCGAGAGCUUUGCCGAGGGCAGGAUUUGCACAGCCACAGUGAGAAGAGUGCUGGUGGCAUCGUUCUGGAGGACGCUGCUGGUAGAGUGCGGCUCCGAGCCGUCGGGAAGGAUGACGAAGCCUGAGGGGAGCACAUCAACGUGAGCUGGAUCACCGCCUUGAAUCAUCAUGUUGAUCAUGGUGAGCUCCACCUGGACGUAGAUGAUGAGGGAACCGGAAGCGUCAGUGCACUCUCCCUAUUCCAGAACUGGAGACGCUGGCAUCCGAUCGUGGAAUUCACUGCUGCUGGAUAUGUUGUCAAUAGGGAGAGUGAAGUGAGCUUGGAUAUCGACAAGGAUGAUGAAAUCUGGUGGGCGGAACUGGAUGUAGUACCGAUUGCAGGGCUACUAUUUUCCUGGUUCGGCAAAUCCAUCUAGCUGCUGCAUGCAAAACUCUCAUGGAUCCUAGUCGUGCCUUGAAACGAGUGGCCAUCAGGGUUUGUUUUCAAAGCAAACACUCAGCAGGAAUGGAAGAAACCAUGGCAAAUUCCCUGGUAGACAUGUACGCCCACUGCGGAAGAACAUAUGGUGGAAGCUCGAAAAGUUUUCGAUGAGAGACGUGGUUCACUGCUGCUAGGAUAUGUUGUCAAUAGGGAGAGUGAAUUGAGCUUGGAUAUCAACAUGGUCUGGUGGGCAGAACUGGAUGUAGUGGUAGCAUUUAUACCAUACAUAACCCUAUUUUCCAGGGACUCUAGUCUUGCCUUGAAAUGAGUUGUGCCAAGAAUUUUGCUUCUGGAGAAUUCAUGCCUUGAGAAGUUCUCCAGCAGUGGAAGCAAAUGUGGUUUCUUCCUCCGUGGAGCAUUAAGGGUCUGGCAGUGCUGGACGUAGCAUGGAGUAUCUCUUAUUGGAAUCCUCCAUGGCUGUAACACUUGUCUCGUCCUAUCUUAUCUUCAACGAGCUAGACUAUUCACCCAUUCCAUUGGAACGAGCUCAAGCAAGGAUAGAUUAUUUCAACAUGAUUGCCCACUCGAAAUUAAGAACCACCACCCAAAGUGGCCUUUUCGAUUUUAACUCGUGGUAAGUGUCAGGUUUAGGAAAGUUGGUGGCAAUGCUUUAUCUGUUGUCAAGCAACACUACCAAGCUCUGUGCUUGUGUAUCCUCCGCAAGUGUCAUGGAGGAAGCUCUCCAUCACUCCACCGGCCAGUGACAAUGGCAGCAUCCAUGCUCUGAAUGCAGUUGAAGAAUACAGGCUCACUCCAAGGAUUGUAUUGAAUUUCUCUUCUUUUCCAGGGAGCAUCUUGCAGCAUGCAAGCUUCACCUAGGUAGAGUUGUUCGAAGCACGUACUUCCUGUUACCACUCAAACCUUAUGGGGAUGGGGGCAGAGGAGUGGGAAAUACUUUACCAGUUGAACGUCACUGUAGUUGUCCUUAGGUGUACAGACUAUAUAACAGAGCGGCCGAGGACUUGGAAGUGGCAGCAGAGCAAGAAGAUCCUCGCGCAUGGUGAUGUCGUCACCUCACUGAUGCCAAGGGAAUGGCAUUUUCUUUUAUUUUUUUAGACUUAGCGAGUCCUGGAGUGGAGAAUCGUCAAGAUUCCAGAGAACAUUCAAGAAAAUCCAAAGAGUGGUGAAGAGGAGGUUAGGGAAGUGAGAGUGUGGCAUGACACAAAGAGGCGGAAGAAUGGAGCCCAAAGCAGAACCACUGUGGUGAAGCGGCAUAUCUGGGUGCAGCAAGCAACUCAGGUGAGUAUAUUGUGGGCAAAAGUGGAUCGGAUUUCUGGUUGAAGUCUUGACUGAGUUAUUGGAAGAAUAAAAGCUUUAUGUUCCUCCACAGCUCUUGGGGGUGUUGAGUCCAGGUUUUAAGUUCUGCAUUGGUUUGUCAUCAUCAUGUUUGGUGCAUUGGCCGAUGAUGAUGACAAACCAAGACAGAACCCUGGGCUCAACACCCCAAGAGUUGUGGGAACACAAAACUUAUAUUCUUCCAAAAAAUUGACUCGCUCACCUUACAGUGAAUCCAGGAAAAAUUGUCUAACAAUCAAAUGUGAAGAGAAGAGAACAAAAAGAUCUUAAGCCUUGUACCAGGAAAAGCUGGGCUCCAGCUUAUGUAUAUUUCCAUAGACAUCUGGAUACCUACAUAUCCAUGCUUCAUAGACUUAUCUCAUCGUGGAACGAGGUUAAUUUUAUCUCAUCACUCAGUAUCAAGAAGAAUACUUUAUGCCACAUCGAGACCAUAUGGAAAAAUGCUUAAUAACUUGCCCUAGAUUCUAUAUAACAUCCUCUUAGGUCUUGUCCGAUUACUUGUUGCCCCACCUCCACUCCGCUUAUGUUGUGGAUCAAGCGAUCCUCACAGAGGACGAGCGCGUCGUGGUGAUUCGCUUCGGCCACGAUUGGGACGAGACGUGUAUGCAGGUAAGCUGGAAUCGCUCUCCCGGUAAUCUCUUUGCCCUAAUUCCGUGUCCGCGCAGAUGGACGAGGUGCUGGCCAAUGUCGCGGAGCCGCUCAAGAAUUUGGCCGUGAUCUAUCUGGUGGACAUCAACACCAUGUACGAGCUCUAGGAUCCCUGUACCGUGAUGUUCUUGCGCAACAAGCACAUCAUGAUCGACCUUGGCACCGGCAACAACAACAAGAUCAACUGGGCGCUCAAGGACAAGCAGGAGUUCAUCGACAUUGUGGAGACUGUCUACCCCGUCGCCAGGAAAGGUCGCUCUCCCAAGGAUUAUUCCACCAAGUACCGCUACCAAGGAACAAAAGAACAAAAGAAGAACAAGAUGGUAAU